AGAGUUUGAUCCUGGCUCAGGAUGAACGCUAGCUACAGGCUUAACACAUGCAAGUCGAGGGGCAGCAUGGAAGAAGCUUGCUUCUUCUGAUGGCGACCGGCGCACGGGUGCGUAACGCGUAUCAAACCUGCCUCAUACUCGGGGAUAGCCUUGCGAAAGUAAGAUUAAUACCCGAUGUUGUUGCUUUCUCGCAUGGGAGAGUAACCAAAGAUUUAUCGGUAUGAGAUGGUGAUGCGUCCGAUUAGGUAGUAGGCGGGGUAACGGCCCACCUAGCCUUCGAUCGGUAGGGGUUCUGAGAGGAAGGUCCCCCACACUGGAACUGAGACACGGUCCAGACUCCUACGGGAGGCAGCAGUGAGGAAUAUUGGUCAAUGGGCGAGAGCCUGAACCAGCCAAGUAGCGUGCAGGAUGACGGCCCUAUGGGUUGUAAACUGCUUUUGUAUGGGGAUAAAGUCAAUCACGUGUGAUUGUUUGCAGGUACCAUACGAAUAAGGACCGGCUAAUUCCGUGCCAGCAGCCGCGGUAAUACGGAAGGUCCAGGCGUUAUCCGGAUUUAUUGGGUUUAAAGGGAGCGUAGGCGGAUUGUUAAGUCAGCGGUUAAAGGGUGUGGCUCAACCAUGCAUUGCCGUUGAAACUGGCGAUCUUGAGUGCAGACAGGGAUGCCGGAAUUCGUGGUGUAGCGGUGAAAUGCUUAGAUAUCACGAAGAACUCCGAUCGCGAAGGCAGGUGUCCGGGCUGCAACUGACGCUGAGGCUCGAAAGUGUGGGUAUCAAACAGGAUUAGAUACCCUGGUAGUCCACACAGUAAACGAUGUAUACUCGCGGUUUGCGAUAGACAGUAAGCCGCCAAGCGAAAGCAUUAAGUAUACCACCUGGGGAGUACGCCGGCAACGGUGAAACUCAAAGGAAUUGACGGGGGCCCG
rnacentral:rRNA from 1 species